AAUUAUGCAAAUUAUGUAACUAGUUCUGGUGUGUACCUGUUUUGUUUAAUGAUUCUUUUCCUUAUGACAUGGAUUUGGAGAGUAAAACAUGUACCUACCUUACCACGGCACCCCCAACGAUGGCACAGAGAAAGUGCUCAAAAAAUAUUUGAAGACGGCAAGGAGCAAGAGAGAAGCUGAAUUAGCCGCCCAGCUAGCCGUGGCCGAGAACAGAAGGGCAGUACAACCCCAGCCGACCCGUGUAAGCUGCUCUAUUCAAUAGCCUUCCUCCCCGAGGCUGCUGGAACAUUCUUUCCAACUCCUCAUGCGUGUCAAGGGGCAAGUGUACCCUGUGUGGUCUGUGUGUCUUUCCCGUGGCCCUCCAUAUGCCAUGUCAGCUGGACUGAAUGGUAAUCCCCAGAUGUGAGAAGACAAGGCUGGGGAGAGAGUCUUUAGACCCAGUUUCUGAGCUCUACUCACUCAAGGCAGGCCUUCGCUUUGCAUUAAUUCUGGCCAAUUUAGCUUGUGCUCCUGUCUGAAAAUCAUCUAGGUUGGAAUUCUUAUAGCUGGAUGAGCUGAGGACAGCAGGCCUUAGCUAGUAUGACGGGCACUAGAAAAAGGCUGUUUAUGGUCUUCGCGUGGUUCAUUUGGGGGUUUCAAGUAGUUCUCCAGCCACACGUUUAUCGGCGUUAUGAAAUCGCUCAUUGUGAGGUCCGCAGUAGCUUUGAUUCUCUGGAUGACUGUCAUUGAUGAGUCUCUUGCUGUCAGAUGUCCCCAGCAUCCAGCCCAGCAAAUAUGCCAGCCUGGAGCAGGGAUGGGCGUGAGAGGGGAUUCAUUUCUGCCUGGCCAUUUCGUUACUGAAAAAGUUAGUAUUAGGACGACAUCUGCCUUCCUAUGCCAACUUGUGGCUGGGGGACCCAGACUUCAGGGGAGGAGCCCCGGCAGAAGACUCUUCUGUGUGCUAAGGGUCCCAAAAAUAAAACUCUAGAGGAGAAAAGAUUUCAGUGCCUGGCAUGCAGAAGAAACUGCAGUAUUUACGGAGUGCACAUAAUGUAUCGCAGUCCAUUUGGAUAAAAACCUCUAUGGAUAAAGACAAAUAAUAUUCUCUAUUUCUCUUUUAAAAAAAUAAGUCAAAACAAACACAAGGAGAAAUGAAAUCUCAAGCACCCACACCAGUCUUUCUCCGUAUGUUUCAGCUGCCCGAAGUGUUCAUUUCAAAGCUUUCUGGGGACCUGUUGAGUGUCAGGUCCUAGGAGAGAGCUGAGUGAGGGGAGAGGGGCCUGAGACAAGAAUCUGAGUACAAGUUGUUGAUUUAGGAAGAAGUCCCAGGAAGCUCCAGUAGGGGAAUGGAGGAGUGAGACAGGGAAGGGAAAGGAAACGGGGUUAUCGAUGACAGUUUGUCACCGUGGACAGCUGGAGCUCAACCCCACUGGAGACCUCUGGGAAACUGACCAAUGCAGCUCAGAGCUGUCUCACUCCAGGGCCUGGAAGAUGGGGAGAUUUGUCCACCAACUCCCAUCCAUCACUGGCUGGGAGCUGCUCUCGCAGCAUUCACUUGCGGCAUUCCAGUCCAGCUCUGUACACGAGCACGGCUUGAGGACCACGGUUUUCCACUACCCUUAGAACAAGAUCCAGACUCCUUGCCACAGCCCACUGUGCCUGCACGAUCUGGCCCUGUCUUCCUCUUCCUCCUAUUCGUUCUGCUCCAGGCUUACCUGGCUCCUCUUGGCUCUUCCAGCUUCAGACCCUUUGCACUUGCUGUUCCCACUGCCUGCAAAGCUCUUUCCCCAACUCGAUUCAUGCCUCCUGCCAUCUCCCCUUUCAUGCCUCUUGCUUUAAAUGACCCCAUAUCAGAGGUCUUGUCUGGCCGCCACCUCAGCCAUGAUUCCUUUUCAGAGAAUCUCAUUGUGCGAUGGCAUAUUUGAUUACUUGUCGUCUCUCUUCUCCACUAGAAUGUGAGCCUGAGUGGACAGAACCCAUGUCUGUUUCCAGGCACUGCCACCUACCCAUUCUUAAUACCUGUGAGGUAUUUCCAGAAUGAAUCAGCCGCGUUCCUCUGACAUGACCUAAAUGACCUCCCUGUCGCAUGUCCUCUAUAAACACACAGGUUCUAGUUCUAAUAAAGUGGAUGUGAACAAA